rnacentral:rRNA from 1 species
CUUUACUGUAGCUUUGUAUUGGACUUUGAACAGAUCUGUGUAGGAUAGGUGGGAGGCUUUGAAGGGUGGAUGCUAGUUCACCUGGAGCCGACGUUGAAAUACCACCCUGGUGUGUUUGAGGUUCUAACCUUGGUCCCUAAUCGGGAUCGGGGACAGUGCAUGGUAGGCAGUUUGACUGGGGCGGUCUCCUCCCAAAGCGUAACGGAGGAGUUCGAAGGUACGCUAGUUACGGUCGGACAUCGUGACGAUAGUGCAAUGGCAUAAGCGUGCUUAACUGCGAGACUGACAAGUCGAGCAGAUGCGAAAGCAGGACAUAGUGAUCCGGUGGUUCUGUAUGGAAGGGCCAUCGCUCAACGGAUAAAAGGUA